ensembl:lncRNA
UCCUCUUCCGCUCUGAUCACACUUCGCGCCAAGGAGGAUUUUUUUUUUAUUUUUUAAAGGAGCUGCUGGUCUAAACUAGUCUCAUCACGAUCAAUAAGAAAAACUCAUUUAUUUUUGCUGUGGAUUAUGGACAUCAGGCGGUUCUUUGUAUCAAGCAAACCCGCAGCACAGAAACCAUCUCGGGAUGGAACCCUCAACACAGAGAAGGAACCCACGAAGAAGAAGAAAUCCAUCUCAACAGACGAAGAAGCGAAGAAGAAAAAACCUGCCACCAAGACUCUGAGGAGGAGGUAGUGGAGCAGAAGCAGAAGGCCCAGAAACCAAACCCUCCUCUUCCUCCGGCUCCUCUUCCUCCUGCCAAGAAAGACCCGGUGCAGUACGUCUCUGAGACAGAUUCAGACAGCGAUAACUUCCUGUCUCUGAAGAAGUCCCAGGCUAAGCCCCAGGGUAAUGGAGUGACCAAACCAGG